GGCGAGUGAAGUGGGAAAAGCUCAACUUUGAAAUCUGGCAGCUUCGCUGUCCGAGUUGUAGUCUCGAGAAGUGUUUUCCGCGCUGGACCAUGUAUGAGUCUGUUGGAAUACAGCGUCAUAGAGGGUGAGAACCCCGUUCAUGACAUGCCUUCCAGUGCUUUGUGAUACACUUUCGAUGAGUCGAGUUGUUUGGGAAUGCAGCUCAAAAUGGGUGGUAAAUUCCAUCUAAAGCUAAAUAUUGGGGAGAGACCGAUAGCAAACAAGUACCGUGAGGGAAAGAUGAAAAGCACUUUGGAAAGAGAGUUAACAGUACGUGAAAUUGUCGAAAGGGAAACGCUUGAAGUCAGACGUGCGUAGUGCCUUCGGGUGCUGUUGCAGGCCAGCAUCAGUUUUUCGAGCCGGAUAAAGGUGGGAGAAAGGUAGCAGUCUCGGCUGUGUUAUAGCCUCCCACUGAAUACGGAUUGUGAGACUGAGGAAUGCGAUUCUAGGAUGCUGGUGAAAUGGCUUUAAACGA
rnacentral:rRNA from 1 species